UACGGAGGGGGGCUAGCGUUGUUCGGAAUUACUGGGCGUAAAGCGCACGUAGGCGGCUUUGUAAGUUAGAGGUGAAAGCCUCGGGGCUCAACUCCGGAAUUGCCUUUAAGACUGCAUCGCUAGAAUUGUGGAGAGGUAAGUGGAAUUCCGAGUGUAGAGGUGAAAUUCGUAGAUAUUCGGAAGAACACCAGUGGCGAAGGCGACUUACUGGACACAUAUUGACGCUGAGGUGCGAAAGCGUGGGAGCAAACAGG
rnacentral:rRNA from 1 species